UUUGCAGCUGCAGAUUCUCACCUGCCCUGCAUUUGAGAACGAAACUGCAGCUACAGAAAUAUCCCAUUUCAAUGAAGCCUCAACACUCCACCAAACUACAGGAGGCCCACGCGCUACAGUGACAUCACGAACUCAAGGCUGGAAAUCGAUCAACCACACCACCUCUCAGAGACUUUGGAGACUUACCCUUCCUACCCUUCCUGCCCAUACGACCGAUGUGCACGCUUCCGCGGUGACAGAAGCUGUGGAGACUCUGGAGCCAUGCAGAUCCUCUGAGAUCCAGCACGUUAGGGUGGACGUGUAUCCAAGAUCGGUGAAACUGGAGUGGGAGUCACUGUCACCAGACCCUUGGGCAGCAUUCCAGGCAUGGACAGUGGACGAUUGUGUUCAACCUUGCGUUUAAAUCCGGUUUAUGUUACCGAGGGAGAAAAACACACCAAUAUGGAGGUGCAAAGAGGGCUCACCCACCUUGAAGUCUCCAAUCUAAUCCCAGCGACAAUGUACACCUUAUGCAUCAUCCCAUUCAGUGACCAGAUAAGGAAGUGCCUGUAUCCUGCAAGCUCCCAGUGCCAGACAGUUUUCACGGACAGGGAAUACUCCCAUUUCCCCAACGCUGCGGCUGCACUUCUGGGCUUACUACUGUUCUUCCUGCUGGUGCUCACACUGGUGCUGUGCCGAAGACGAUGCCUCCACGCCGUCCAGUUCCAGCGCCACUUCGACGAAGACAGCCUCACUAUGGAGCAUUCAGCCGUGCACUCACCUGACGUUGAGGUCAUCGGUGAGGAGUACACUGUCAGAAUGGAGGACAGCAAAAACGUGUUCACUCAGGUCGACAAAGCAUCUGUGUUCAAAUGAUUUUUCCUUAGUUCAGUGGUUCUUAACCAUUACUGCAGCCAUGCACCCCUUUGGUUCUCAAUGGUUAAAAAAACAUGUUCAUAAAUACAUAGGUCUGAUGAGACAAAGUAGUUGUACUUACGUGCCCGUGCUUAAAAAAAUCUGGUCAUGUCUCGCACCCCCAGAAAGGGCAUCUUGCACCUCCAGGGGGUGCAUCCACCCCAGGUUAAGAACCACUGCCUUAGUUCAGGGCCAUCGCUUAUAUACAAUGUCUUAUAAAACGUGAUGGUCCAGAUAUUUCAAAUCUUCUGAUUCGUAAAGAGUUCAGUUAUGCUUUUGAAAGAGAAAUUUACCGACAUCUUUCCCAAACCUUUGGAGUUCCUAGAUCCCAAAGUUUGUCAUGAAAAGUAAAUCAGUACCAAUGAUAUCAAGUGAAAUUCAAUCCAUUUUGUUGCAUUUAAUGUUAAAUAAAUAAAAAUUAUCAUUACACGCAGUUCUUAGAUGUUCUGUUACGAUUGUAAUUCAAAGUAAUUUUAUGAGAAACUGUAUAUAUACAGUGUAACAGUGUAGUGGAAUGAGAGCACCCACCACCAUACUUGUUCACCUUCUGACUGAAAAUAGGCAAUUUGGAAACUACAAUAAUGUACAUCACUGUACACCACAAUACUGUACACCACAAUAUUGUACUGUACAUCACUGUUUCAGAGACAGAAUAUUUUCCAUCAAAUAUAUGUGUGAAAAACUUUUAAAACUACACUUAAAAAAAAAUCCAAAAUUAAAAUCAUAUUCACAAUGAGUUUGCGUUUAAAUAAAUAAAAUUCCCACAGAAGAUGUUA